rnacentral:rRNA from 1 species
GGUUCGAUUAUGGCUCCAGAUUGAACGCUGGCGGGAUGCUUGCUACACAUACCAAGUCGAACGGCAGCACGGACUUCGGUCUGGUGAGUGGCGAACGUUGGUAAUGUAUCGGAACGUGCCUAGUAGCGGGGGAUAACUACGCGAAAGCGUAGCUAAUACCGCAUACGCCCUUCGAGGGAAAGCGGGAUGCUUCGGGCCUCACUAUUGGAAACGGCCGAUAUCGGAUUGGCUAGUUGGUGGGGUAACGGCUCACCAAGGCGACGAUCCGUAGCUGGUUUGAGGACGAUAAGCCACACUGGGACUGAGGCGUGGAGACUCCUGGAGGCAGCAGUGGGGAAUUUUGGACAAUAGAGAGCCUGAUCAGCCGUCACGUGUGCGGUGAAGGCCUUCCGGGUUGUAAAACACUUUUGGCAGGAAGAAACGGCACAGGGUCAUGCGUCCUGGCUGACUGUCACCUGCAGAAUAAGCACCGGCUAACUACGUGCCGUAUGCGGUAAUACGUAAGUGCAAGCGUUAAUCGGAAUUACCUGGGCGUAAAGCAUGCGCGAGCGGUUCGGAAGAAAAGUCUUUGAUCGGGCCUUUGGAACUGCUUUUAACUACCGAGCUAGAGUGUGUCAGAGGGAGUGGAAUUCCACCGUGCUUGUGAUGGUAAGCUAGAUAUGCGGAGGAACACCGAUAAUGACAGCCUCUGGAUAACACUGACGCUCGUACACAGCAUUAAAGACCAAACAGGAUUAGAUGCCCUGGUAGUCCGCGCCCUAGAGCAUUAUCCAACUAGGCUAUUGGGGCCUUCGGGCCAUGGUAGCCCGCAAUAACGCGUGAAGUUGACCGCCUGGAGAAUACACGGGGUGCCAGAUUAAAACUCAAAAAUUGACGGGGACCCGUAAAGCGGUGGAUGAUGUGGAUUAAUUCGAUGCAACGCGAAAACCUUACCCUUGACAUGUCUGGAAUCCCGAAGAGAUUUGGGGUGCUCGCAAGAGAACCGGAACACAGGUGCUGCAUGGCUGUCGUCAGCUCGUCUUCGUGAGAUGUUGGGUUAAGUCCCGCAACGAGCGCAACCAUGUCAUUGGCGUGCUACAAGAAAGGGCCUCUGUUGGGCUGGUGUCGACCGGAGGAAGGUGGGGAUGACGUCAAGUCCUCAUGGCCCUUAUGGGUAGGGCUUCACACGUCAUACAAUGGUCAGGACAGAGGUCGCCAACCCGCGAGGAGCCAAUCCCAGAAACCCGAUCGUAGUCCGGAUCAUGAUGCAACUCGAACGCGGUCAGAAUCGCUGACAAAAUCGCGGAUCAGCAUGUCGCGGUGAAUACGUUGUUGCCCGGGUCUUGUACCGCCCGUCACUGUGGGAACUGGGUUUUGCCAGAAGUAGUUAGCCUAACCGUAAGGAGGCGAUUACCACGGUAGGAUUCAUGACGGGGUGAAGUCGUAACAAGGUAG